UUAACAUAUUUAUAUAUAUAUGUGUGUGUGUGUGUGUGUGUGUCUGUAUGUACACUUACACAUCCAUCAAUGAAGCUGCAGAUACAAAUUUAC
rnacentral:miRNA from 1 species